rnacentral:rRNA from 2 species
AACACAUGCAAGUCGAACGAUGAAAGAGAAUCCGAUCUCUUCGGAGUGAAGAAUCUCUGGAUUAGUGGCGGACGGGUGAGUAACGCGUGAGCAAUCUGCCUUACACAAAGGGAUAGCCUCGGGAAACCGGGAUUAAUACCAUAUGAUAUCUAUUAACCGUAUGGCCUAUAGAUUAAAGAAUUUCGGUGUAAGAUGAGCUCGCGUCCCAUUAAUUAGUUGGUGAGGGUAACGGCCCACCAAGAUAGCGAUGGGUAGCCGAUCUAAGAGGAUGACCGGCCACAUUGGAACUGAGAAACGGUCCAAACUCCUACGGGAGGCAGCAGUGGGGAAUAUUGCACAAUGGGGGAAACCCUGAUGCAGCGACGCCGCGUGAGCGAUGAAGGCUUUCGAGUCGUAAAGCUCUGUCCUAUGGGAAGAUAAUGACGGUACCAUAGAAGAAAGCCCCGGCUAAUUACGUGCCAGCCGCCGCGGUAA